AGGACAAACGCUGGCGGCGUACUUAAGACAUGCAAGUCGAACGGGCGCUUCACCUUCGGGUGGGUGUGCUAGUGGCGGACGGGUGAGUAACGCGUAGGAACCUGUCAUCAAGAGGGGGGAUAACGCUGGGAAACCGGCGCUAAUACCGCAUGUGGUCAUGAAAAUGAAGAAAGCAGCAAUGCGCUUGAUGAGGGGCCUGCGUCCGAUUAGCUUGUUGGUGGGGUAAAGGCCUACCAAGGCAUCGAUCGGUAGCUGGUCUGAGAGGAUGGUCAGCCACACUGGGACUGAGACACGGCCCAGACUCCUACGGGAGGCAGCAGUUAGGAAAUUUUCCCAAUGGGCGCAAGCCUGAGGGAGUAACGCCGCGUGGAGGAUGACGGCUUUCGGGUGUAACUCCUUUCUGUGGAAGAGUAGAAGACGGUACCGCAGGAAUAAGCCUCGGCUAACUACGCGCCAGCAGCCGC
rnacentral:rRNA from 1 species